rnacentral:tRNA from 1 species
GGUUUGGUGGUCUAGUGGUAUGAUUCUCGCUUAGGGCCCACCCUAUUCCAAAAUUGCGAGAGGUCCCGGGUUCAAUCCCCGGCCAAACCC